ensembl:lncRNA
ACUGAGAGAUAGCAAAAGAAAUCGAGGAGUCCGGAGCAAGUACUGAGAGAGACUUUAUUGUUCCCACAAACUAGGAACAACAGAGCCGAGUAUGGUUUGCAAAGACACUAACGAUCAUAAGAUCCCGGGCUUUUUAUCUUCACACACAAAGCUGUUCUCUACAUCGUAUGCCUGCCCACAGCUGUCAGUCAUACGUUACUAGCUUUGUGGUCAAAAUCCUCAGCAAAUCUAAUCCAAAAAUUAGGUCGAAGCUAAUCUGAACAUUAGGUUGACGCUAAUCUGAACAUUAGGUUGAUAAAUCUAAACAUCUGGUGGACGCAAAUCUAAUCUAAACAUGAGGGUUGACGUCAGUACGCCUUGACCCCAGACUCUGUGGCACCGUGCCGAGUCCCAUAGUAUGCCCAUGAAUUCAGAGAUGAUUUUAGCUGCUUUCCACUAUUAAUGUAUCGAUAUGAUAUAUAGGCCUGAUAAUACUCAUAGGUAAUAUAAAAGUAAUGGUUAAUUUCUCCCAUAAACCCUAGGAGUCAAAAACAAUUUGAGCCUUCAUAAAGUUUGUUUGGUAACUGAAUUAUAACUGCACAAUGUCCCAUUGCAAAGUUCCUAUUCCACUGUAUUGGUUUUGGACUGAAUGUCCUAGAGGUCCUUAAUUUGAAGCCACUCAAUUAUAUCUAGGGCAGAGUCACAUAGAGUUGUUGUCAUGGUCUGUCUGUUUCCUUGUCUUUUAUUGGUGUGUUUCCUGUUUUACUCUGGUAUCCCUGUCUUGUCUCUCCCCAUGUCCGGUCAGGUUUCCCUCCUGUGUGAUUACUGCUCCCUCCCCUAAUGUGUUUCAGCUGUUCCUCUGUGUGUGUUUGGUAUUUAAGCCCUUGUCUUUCCUUUGUUCCUUGUCGGAUCUUUGUAGUUCGUGGUGAGUUGUGUCCCCGGGGUUCCCUGCCUUUUGCGUUAAUGAAUGAAUGUUAAUGAAUUACCCUUUACCUAAACUGUCUGCUAUUGGGUCCUAUCUGCCUGCCUGCCACCCGCUAACCGUGACACAAGUUUUCUCAACUGCUUUCGUAGAAGAUAAUUGACAUGUAGGCCUUCUGCACAACCCUAACAUUUUCGUUAGAUUUAGCUACCACGGAGCCUCCCUGUAAUGGUUGUGUUGUAACAUCAGUCAUUUAACCUAACCAAGCCUCUAAAAAAUUGGCUUAGCGAGCUAGUUCGAUGUUAGCUGAAGUCUGCCUAUCCUACACGUAAAUCAAAUGUAAGCUUAUUAAAAUGUUAUUGGACUGAUCUGUAAUUGGCUUAGUUUGCUAACGUCAGGUUUAUGCUAGGCUACCCAUCCUAUACUCUGACUAGAGGUUAUUUUGAAACUUCUGUUUGAGAAAAGAUUCAUAGCAAUUUUGUUAUAAUAACCCAGAUGUGGACAGUCUGCCUUGUUCUGUUUGAAAAGGUGACAGAAUCAGGAUUGCUUUCCACUCACUUUAUUUGGUAAAGGUUUGGUCUCUGUGUAGCAAAACGAGGGGAAUUGUAUAGGCAGAUAAAUGCAUCCAUAUAAAUCCCAACUAAUACUUCUAGAUAUGAAUAAUACAAAGUUGAACACUUUCAGCAUGCAUUGAAAGUCGAAAGUACAAAAAAUAGGUGACAUAAGAAUACAAGUUAAGAUUUAAAAUUCCCUGCAGGCUCGUCAUUCAAGUAAACAGUGACGCACAAAAAACUAAACCUAAAGAAAAACAAAUUAGCCAUAAUGUGAAUAUCUGAACAUCUAUCACAAGUCAGUAAAUUGGUUGACACAAAUGUAAUUGUAAUCAAUUAUAGUGUAGACCAUUUCCUUACUAACCUUAUUGUUUUAUCUGAAGUAUGCUUUCAGUACCCCCUGGUGUGGUCCACCACCCUGAGUGGGGAAGCACCUCCCUUAUCUCGGCAGCCCCCCCCACAAUCCUUCACUGUGGAUAACAUGAAAUAGAAAUUUGGAUAACAUUUUAUCGUACGUAUCAAGUCUAAUUUUAAGUAUUGUCGACUAUUAUCUAUGAUCACUUUGGUCGUGGCCCUCGCCGGCCUCCUCCCGCCCGGCCCCCCUGGUCCUGGUCCUGUAGCUGCAGGGCGGCCAUCAUGUACUCGGGAAUAUCGGUGUCUUGGUAUCCCGGGGGCAGCCACCCAGGUGGCGAGAUGCCCUGGUACGCCGGUGGCAGGGCCAGGAGUGUUGGGAAGAGUGUCGGCGGUUCCUGGGUGUCUUCAGCUUUUUCGCGCAGCAGGGACUUCUCUUCGAGCUUCUUAAUCUGCAACCUCAUGAGUUGCCUCUUCAGUUCUUUGAGUUCAUCGUCCAUGGCUACCCGCCGCUCUUGAUCGAGACGGUAGUGAUGGACGAGGUGCUCUUUCCACUCUGCCCACGGUUUGUCGGACAGUGCCACCACCGUCUCCAGGGCCUUCCGGACCUCGGCUGGCAGUCCUUGUAGGAGCUGUCUCUUGAAUAUCUCGACCGCUGGCCAGCUUUGUGCGUGGCAGUCGUUACAGUCCGCCCACAGCCCUCGGGCCCUGUCGAUGUACGCAGAGAUGGAUUCCUCGGGUUUGAUGCUCACGCCGGGGAUUCCCACUGUGACGGCCGGGAAGAGUUCUCUGAGGCGCUCCCAGAAGAGGUUCCGGUAUGGAUUGAAGAAGGUUCUGUCGGGUAGUUCGGCGGUUCGGGUCAAUUUUUCCAGUUCGAAAGCUUGCGCACGGUCGAGCAUGGCUCGCACAUCGCCCAAGCCCAGGACGACUCCAGGCGACUCUUUCUCGAACUCCCUGAUCCAGGCCGCUGCUCCGUCCGUCAGACGGGGUAAGCGGGCGGCCAGACCGACCAUGUCCCGAUGGCCCCACGGUGCGUAGCUAUCUCUCCCCUCUACGUCUGUCGGACGGGCUGCCAUGACCAUUGGCAUUACGAUCAUCCAGUCCGGAAGCGCGCGUGUUCUGGAGCUAGGUGUGGGGAAAAGCAGGAGUAGUUCGCUUCUUGACCUGCAGGGGGUGGCUUAGUUUGGACUUAUGGUAGUUCUCUUCUUGUCCAGCAGUGGGAGUCGUUUAGGUAGAACUGGUGGCAGUUCCUCUUCUCGGCCAGUAGGGGGAGUCGCUGAGGUAGAACUGGUGAUGGUUCCUAUUCUCUGCCAGCUGGGGGGAGUCGUUUAGGUGUGACUUUAACUAUAGAGGGGGUUCUCUCUUGAUUUAUUGCCCUUUGGGCUGAGCCCUUCCCCGCUCUCUACGUCCUCGGCACCUACGGACAGAUGGAAACAAACAACAGAUAAGGUGGGAGUUGGAAUGUAGGCCAUCUCUCAUAGACAAAGGGAUUUGUCGGCCACAUGAAAAAAAAAAUCAAUGUAAAGUUGUGUUUGUGAGAAAAACAGGAGAAAAAACAACUGCAUUCAAUGCAUUCAAGCGUGUUAGUAGUUAUUCAAAAAAAAGUCUUAUGAAUCAUGCAAGUUGGCUUAGCCCCAUGGGGUUAGAAGUAGGCUAUAUAUUGCAUUUGGACUCAGUAAACGUCUUAAAACCGCUAGGAUUGUCAAUUCAAAGCUUAAGCCCCUCAUGGUUAGCAGUUCUUACAACCACCAGGAAUAUGUUCUCCAAGCUUCAGC